rnacentral:tRNA from 2 species
GGCGGCGUAGCUUAGUUGGCUAGAGCGCUCGGUUCAUACCCGGGAGGUCGGUGGUUCGAGUCCACUCGCCGCUACCA